GUGAGGAAUAUUGCGCAAUGGAGGCAACUCUGACGCAGCCAUGCCGCGUGCAGGAAGAAGGCGCUACGCGUUGUAAACUGCUUUUAACCGGGAAGAAACCCCAGGACGUGUCCUGGGUUGACGGUACCGGAGGAAUAAGCACCGGCUAACUUCGUGCCAGCAGCCGCGGUAAUACGAAGGGUGCAAGCGUUAUCCGGAUUCAUUGGGUUUAAAGGGUGCGUAGGCGUAGCGUUAAGUCAGUGGUGAAAUCCUGCAGCUUAACUGUAGACUUGCCAUGGAUACUGGCGCUCUUGAGUGCGCUUGAAGUGGGCGGAAUGUGCCGUGUAGCGGUGAAAUGCUUAGAUAUGGCACAGAACACCAAUUGCGAAGGCAGCUCACUAAGGCGAUACUGACGCUGAGGCACGAAAGCGUGGGGAUCGAACAGGAUUAGAAACCCUAGUAGUCC
rnacentral:rRNA from 1 species